GCGGGCGUGGCGGAAUUGGUAGACGCGCCAGAUUUAGGUUCUGGUGGUUUGUGCCGUGGGGGUUCAAGUCCCUCCGCCCGCACCA
rnacentral:tRNA from 1 species